UCACCUGUGUCUGUAAAGGACUGAAUAUCGUAGGUCAGAUCAACACUUAAAUUUUCAGAAUUUUCCGUUUUCUUAAACACCAACCCAAUCACCCACAUAGUACGAUAUUCUUCCCUGUAAAUUUUUAUGGCA
rnacentral:pre_miRNA from 1 species